rnacentral:rRNA from 1 species
CCUACGGGUGGCAGCAGUGGGGGAUAUUGGACAAUGGGGGGAACCCUGAUCCAGCGACGCCGCGUGAGUGAAGAAGUAUUUCGGUAUGUAAAGCUCUGUCAGCAGGGAAGAAAGAAAUGACGGUACCCACAGAGGAAGCACCGGCUAACUCCGUGCCAGCAGCCGCGGUAAUACGGGGGGUGCAAGCGUUGUCCGGAAUCAUUGGGCGUAAAGAGUUCGUAGGCGGCACGUAAAGUCUGGUGUUAAAGGCAGAGGCUCAACUUCUGUACGGCACUGGAUACUUGCGAGCUAGAAUGCGGUAGAGGUAAAGAGAAUUCCUGGUGUAGCGGUGAAAUGCUUAGAUAUCAGGAGGAACAUCGGUGGCGUAAGCGCUUUACUGGGCCGUAAUUGACGCUGAGGAACGAAAGCCAGGGUAGCAAAUGGGAUUAGAUACCCUUGUAGUC